AGGGCACCACCAGGAGUGGAGCCUGCGGCUUAAUUUGACUCAACACGGGAAAACUCACCCGGCCCGGACACCGUAAGGAUUGACAGACUGAGAGCUCUUUCUUAAUUCGGUGGGUGGUGGUGCAUGGCCGUUCUUAGUUGGUGGAGCGAUUUGUCUGGUUAAUUCCGAUAACGAACGAGACUCUGGCCUAUUAAAUAGACGAUAUAUUAAAAAGUAUAUCGCACUUCUUAGAGGGACAAGCGGCGUCUAGCCGCAUGAAAUAGAGCAAUAACAGGUCUGUGAUGCCCUUAGAUGUCCGGGGCUGCACGCGCGCUACACUGAAAGAAUCAGUGGGCGUUAAACCUAGUUCGGAAGAACCGGGUAACCCAAGUAAAUUCUUUCGUGCUUGGGAUAGGGAAUUGCAAUUAUUUCCCUUAGACGAGGAAUUCCCAGUAAAUUCGGGUCAUAAGCUCGAGUUGAUUACGUCCCUGCCCUUUGUACACACCGCCCGUCGCUACUACCGAUUGGAUGACUUAGUGA
rnacentral:rRNA from 1 species